rnacentral:rRNA from 1 species
AGAGUUUGAUCCUGGCUCAGAUUGAACGCUGGCGGCAUGCUUUACACAUGCAAGUCGGACGGCAGCACAGAGAAGCUUGCUUCUUGGGUGGCGAGUGGCGAACGGGUGAGUAACAUAUCGGAACGUACCGAGCAGUGGGGGAUAACUAAUCGAAAGAUUAGCUAAUACCGCAUAUAUUCUGAGGAAGAAAGCAGGGGACCAUUUGGCCUUGCGCUGUUUGAGCGGCCGAUAUCUGAUUAGCUAGUUGGUGGGGUAAAGGCCUACCAAGGCGACGAUCAGUAGCGGGUCUGAGAGGAUGAUCCGCCACACUGGGACUGAGACACGGCCCAGACUCCUACGGGAGGCAGCAGUGGGGAAUUUUGGACAAUGGGCGCAAGCCUGAUCCAGCCAUGCCGCGUGUCUGAAGAAGGCCUUCGGGUUGUAAAGGACUUUUGUCAGGGAAGAAAAGGCUGUUGCUAAUAUCGACAGCUGAUGACGGUACCUGAAGAAUAAGCACCGGCUAACUACGUGCCAGCAGCCGCGGUAAUACGUAGGGUGCGAGCGUUAAUCGGAAUUACUGGGCGUAAAGCGAGCGCAGACGGUUACUUAAGCAGGAUGUGAAAUCCCCGGGCUCAACCUGGGAACUGCGUUCUGAACUGGGUGACUAGAGUGUGUCAGAGGGAGGUAGAAUUCCACGUGUAGCAGUGAAAUGCGUAGAGAUGUGGAGGAAUACCGAUGGCGAAGGCAGCCUCCUGGGAUAACACUGACGUUCAUGCUCGAAAGCGUGGGUAGCAAACAGGAUUAGAUACCCUGGUAGUCCACGCCCUAAACGAUGUCAAUUAGCUGUUGGGCAACUUGAUUGCUUAGUAGCGUAGCUAACGCGUGAAAUUGACCGCCUGGGGAGUACGGUCGCAAGAUUAAAACUCAAAGGAAUUGACGGGGACC